GGAUUUCCUCGACUCGAGUCCUUAAAUCUUCAAUCUUUACAUAAAUUUGAGGAGUGGAUAUUGGAGGAAGGAGCUAUGCCAAGUCUUUUACAUUUACGUAUCAAUUACUGCAAUCAACUGAAGAAGCUUCCAGAAGGAAUGAAACCUACCCUCAAGAAAUUGGAACUAUUGUGGAUGCCCGAUAAAUUCAAAGAAAGGGUUCGAGAAGGGGGAGAGGAUUGGGAUAAAAUUCAGCAAAUACCCUCCAUCCAGAUAAGCAAUUAGGAGAAGGUACUUGGCACGCGGGAGGCGGUUGGACGUGACGUGCAGAAUGGGCAUGAAUAAAAAACUAUUUCCCUUUUAUGGUUUCUUUGUUGGUUUCUUAAUGUAUGAAUGAUGUGAGAUAUUUGUACGAGCUUUCAAACUGUGGCAUGAUGAUGUGUGUAUUUUUAUUUUAUUUUUCUUUUCUUUUUUCUUGGUUUGGUUUCUAAUCUUCAAGACUUCAAUAUGAUUAGUUGUUUUUGUAAUGCUUGAGAUCUAUUACUUUGUCUAUAUUUGGAUGUAAUAUGCUUUUUAAAGGUGAAAACAGUUCUUUAGAGUGUAGCUCUGGAGGACGUCCACAAUAUUGCUUCAUCGGAAGUUUAAAUGGAUGGAUGAUCAAAGCUGCUUAUUAGGACAUUGAUCGACAGAUUAGGAGCUUCAAUCAAAAAAUUGUUUCAACCAUCUUCUAUCUAUAUUAGAGCCAAUCAAACAUAGUCUGGAUCUCCAAACUACAGCUCCACUUGCAUGGAAUGCUUGCAUAAGGACACUUCAACCAAACAGAUAAGAACUCACUCUUCUUCCUAUUUUAUCCUUAACUAGUUUUAAAGUAAGUAGUUUCUUCAACUGAUUAAUAUAGUUUUUAAGAAAACAAAUUCUAGCACGUAACAUAUUUUAUUUUAUUUUUACUCACAGGAGAGACGUGAUGACCUACACUUGUGAAGUGAUAAGAUCGAUGUGGAGAAUGGUGGCAGGGGAGUCCAUUUUCCUCUAAUGGUGCGUUUUGUCAUAAAUGGCAAUGAGAUGUUUUGAUGACAUAUUUUUCAAAUUGCAUCACAAAGACAUCUCUAGCUUUUGCUACGUAUCUUUCAACAUGCUACAAUGUGCUAUUAUUCGUUAUUACAUGUACUGUAUUUCAAUUUACAUCUUCUCAAGUCAUGUAAGUUAUAUUUUCGUGGAAAGUUAAAAAAGCUACCCAGUGUUGUAAUUAAAUUCCCAUCAAACCUCACCAAGCCUACCUUACAAUGGUCCUAUUUGAAACUCGGCCCAUCACUUUUCAGGUUGUAGUGUAGCAAAUCACUUUUGAUUUCAUUUAUAGGAGAAGCUAUGUUGGCACCUGUGAGGUAACUUGAUAUCUAUAAUAUUUGAUUUGUCUUGCUGUAUCUAUGUUUGGAUGUAAUACCUUUUCAAAGUAGAAGCAAAUUUCCCAAGUCCAGGCUGAGUCCACAAAUGCUUGACCAGAGAGUUUUUAUACAUGUAAAUUAACAAAGCUGAUCAUCAGGUAUGGCCCAGUGUAUAACUACUCCGGCACAAAGUACAUGUUACUCUGAUAAUGCGAUGGACCAUCCAUGCACAUUGAGUGUGGGCUGUCAAUUUCUAUUGUCUAUAUCUAGGCCACCUGAUUUGCGGUCGGCCUGAUUCCUGGACCAAUGUAUUAUAAGUUUUAGGUGGGCUUUACUAGUUUCCCUAACCAAUUGAUGUAUAUUUUUUAACCCUCUAUUUGUAGGAUAUUGAUUGAGGGAUUAGGACCUACCCUUAAUCUGUAUGAAUUUUGGAGCAUCUUCCAUCCAAGAGAGGACCUAUCAGACCUAUAGUUUGGAUCUUCCUACCGCAUCGCUUGCUGUACGUACGGAUUGCAGCACCAGACACAUACACCCUCCUGUUUAUUCUUAAUAUCAUGCAUUUGAAGCAACUGGACAUAAGGACAG